AGCACAUGCUGCGUCAUUUGCUCAGUUUAAGGUCCCUGGGAAUGAAAAUCCUUCUAUUCUUAUAUCCUUUGCAAGCAAGAGCUUUAAUGCUGGGCAGAUAACAUCAAAGUUGCAUGUCAUUGAGCUUGGUGCCCAACCAGGAAAACCAUCAUUUACUAAAAAGCAGGCAGAUCUCUUUUUCCCU